rnacentral:rRNA from 1 species
CUCCUGCCCGGGCGACCGGCGCACCGGGUGAGUAACACGUAUGCAACCUGGCCGUCACAGGUGGAUAACCGGAAGAAAUUCCGACUAAUACAGCAUAANACCCCCGGGAGGACAUCCUUUCGGGGGUCAAAGGAGGCAACUCCGGUGACGGAUGGGCAUGCGGCGCAUUAGGUAGUUGGUAGGGUAACGGCCUACCAAGCCGACGAUGCGUAGGGGUUCUGAGAGGAAGGUCCCCCACAUUGGAACUGAGACACGGCCCAAACUCCUACGGAAGGCAGCAG